rnacentral:rRNA from 1 species
AGUGAACGCUGGCGGUAGGCCUAACACAUGCAAGUCGAACGGCAGCACAGUAAGAGCUUGCUCUUACGGGUGGCGAGUGGCGGACGGGUGAGGAAUACAUCGGAAUCUACUUUUUCGUGGGGGAUAACGUAGGGAAACUUACGCUAAUACCGCAUACGACCUACGGGUGAAAGCAGGGGAUCUUCGGACCUUGCGCGAUUGAAUGAGCCGAUGUCGGAUUAGCUAGUUGGCGGGGUAAAGGCCCACCAAGGCGACGAUCCGUAGCUGGUCUGAGAGGAUGAUCAGCCACACUGGAACCGAGACACGGUCCAGACUCCUACGGGAGGCAGCAGUGGGGAAUAUUGGACAAUGGGCGCAAGCCUGAUCCAGCCAUACCGCGUGGGUGAAGAAGGCCUUCGGGUUGUAAAGCCCUUUUGUCGGGAAAGAAAAGCAGCAGGUUAAUACCCCGCUGUUCUGACGGUACCCAAAGAAUAAGCACCGGCUAACUUCGUG